rnacentral:rRNA from 1 species
UACGGGGGGGGCAAGCGUUGUUCGGAAUUACUGGGCGUAAAGGGCUCGUAGGUGGCCAACUAAGUCGGACGUGAAAUCCCUCAGCUUAACUGGGGAACUGCGUCCGAUACUGGAUGGCUUGAGUUUGGGAGAGGGAUGCGGAAUUCCAGGUGUAGCGGUGGAAUGCGUAGAGAUCGGGAAGAACAUCAGUGGCGAAGGCGGCCUGCUGGGCUGUUGCUGACGCUGAGGCGCGACAGCGUGGGGAGCAAACAGG